rnacentral:misc_RNA from 1 species
GCAUCCUCUGCUAUCUUGUAUUUCUCCAAGGUCUCAAUGCUUUUUGCUAGUAAAAAUGCUUUCUCCUUCUCCUACUCCAAUUUCUUCAAUUUUCUUUCCUGAGAUUUGCUCAACUUGGGGUUUUUCUUUUUUGGAACCCUUCAUUCUCCAUGAAUUUUUCAUUUGCACUUCCAUAUUGCCUCUCUUUAGUUGAACUGCGCCGCCCUAAAAUCUCAAAUAAUUAGUAAUUCUUUAUUAAUUCUCUCUCUAUAAAUAAGAGGAUGUUGAAGAGGAUUUAAGGAGAGAAUGCGAGACGCAGCUGCUAAACAGAAAAUCGAGAAUGAUUGGCAAUUGCUUGCUAGUUGCUAUGGGUGGAAAUAAAGAAAAAUACUUUAACAAGGGUAAAUAGGCGUUAGUGGGAGAGGAAAAUAGAGGAAAGAAUAAAACAUAAACAAAAAUGGAGAAAGCGAAGAAAGAGGUUCUUAUACCUAACCUUAGUAGUUUUCAAACCCAGACACAGAAUAAUCACUCAACACUCCUUAACUUAGAAAACCUUCAAAGAUAACCCAGAAAAUCAAUCCAUGAAAAUCGAUCGAGGAACAUCUUCAAACAAAAGCCAUGGAACAUCUUCAUACAAAACCCAAAAAAUCAACCUGGAUUCAACUUAAUAAACCUAGAAAUUCAAGAAACCCAUUAACACACCCGAACUCAACAAACCCAAAAAUCCGCGGCCAUGAGAGUUGCCACUAGUCGGUAAAGUGGCAAUAUGAUACUAAAGAAAUAUGAGACUAAGGAUUAGGGGAAAUUCUGAAAGAGGAAAGGUUAAAACUUAAAGAAAAUCAGAAAAAAGAACUGCUAAGGUUGGAGUAUAUGUGUCGAAGGAGAGAGACGGUGG